rnacentral:rRNA from 1 species
UACGUAGGGUGCAAGCGUUAAUCGGAAUUACUGGGCGUAAAGCGUGCGCAGGCGGUUAUGUAAGACAGAUGUGAAAUGCCCGGGCUCAACCUGGGAACUGCAUUUGUGACUGCAUGGCUAGAGUGUGUCAGAGGGGGGGUAGAAUUCCACGUGUAGCAGUGAAAAUGCGUAGAUAUGUGGAGGAAUACCGAUGGCGAAGGCAGCCCCCCUGGGAUAACACUGACGCUCCAUGCACGAAAAGCGUGGGGGAGCAAAACAGG